AGAGAGCGCAUGGGGUAGAGACAGCAAAAUGGGUGGGCUGGUUCUGCAGGAACUUGCAGUUGCUGGCCUUGUCCCCUGGUAGCCAUGAGGUUGGAAAUUCACUACGUCUGUCUGAAUCCUGCGCCUACGUCCUCUCCCAGUUUCCCCAGGGAGAUCUUAACUCAAAUACUGUGGUGGCUGAGAGGGGUUUUUCUGCUUCGGCACCACCACAAAGUUCCAGGCAGGACAGCAGAAACAACAAAGGGACAAAUCUUCAUUUAUGCUAUACCCUUUUUACUCUAUGACAAUUUUGAUGGAUUGUAUGCUGGGUAAAUUGGGUGCCAGGCUCUUUUCAGAUAUCACAGCUGUCAAAAAGGACAUUAAUAUAAAUAAGAAACAGGCUGUAGUGACCAAAUGUUUGGGUAUUAAUUCAGUCUUUACUUUGGCAAAAUCUCCUGCUGCUUUUCCAUACGUGAGAGCAGAGCAAAUGCUAUAAGACAGUUUUCAUAACCUUUGUACACUCCCAUGUGCUCUUACUCAGAUGCUUAGUCACACCAGGAUGUGUUCUCUGGGGAGCUAUUCACCUGUCCUCCUGUUGGUGUGCACAGUCUGAGUAAAACCUAAGAAGAACUUUAACUAAAAAGAAACAAGUCCGUGCCUGGGACAGUCAGGGCUUCCAUCACAUUUGGUUUUCUAUAGAUAGUAACAGUAGAUCUCUGCUUAUAACUCUGCUUGGAUAACUCCUGCUGCUGAGAUCCGCUGAAGCCAAAGUGGCAGCAUCAAUGUUAUGCCAUGAUUUGCUGGAGUAUUACAUGCCAACCUUCUGCUGCAGGGACUCACAAACCUGCUGGUGCUAAAUAAUCACUUCCUUUCAGCCUCUUCACUUGCAUCACUCCUUGCCAAACUCCAGCAGAGACAACUUAGCCAGCACCAAACUCUGCAGGAGAGCACAGGUCUUGACAUUGGCAUUUGUUUCUGACAGACCCUCAGUCAACGUGCCCCUCUUUUUGUACAUGAGGAUGGAAAAGCAUACUUAACUAUUUCUAGUUCUGCUCCCUGCUAUGCUGUCUUAUGAGAUCUUUGUCUCACCUAUGCAUUAUGUAGCUAUCGUACUUAUGUAAUGACUCUGCUGAAGACAAGCCUGGAGAAAGCUAAUCCAGGGAUUUUGAUUCAUUAAGAAAUGACCGAGGAAGGAACAUUUCAGAAAAGCUUCUUAUGUGACACACUGGGAAAAUAAGCAUUCACACGCUGCCAAGACUGGAAGGUUGAGCCUGUAGAGAACUGGACUGCUGGGGAGGUCACAGAUUUAUGAUCUGACAUCAGUUCUGUCGUGGGUUACCUCCUAGUGAAGAGGGACCUCAUCUAAGGACUUGCAGCAAGAUUUCAGCCAAAAGUAUCUCAAGCCCCAGUUAUCUGCACAGAGAGCAGAGGCUUUGCUGCAAAGCGUGAGUACAAGACGUGAGCCUGAGCAGAUCUUCAGUUUAGGUACCUACAUUUAUUUCAGUGGAACUGACUCUUCCUUUGUGCAUCUAUACACCUUCAUAGCUAGUACGUGGGAAAAAGGCACUGUUUUCAUUACUUCCUAGUAUAAAUGACAAGCACAUUAAAUACAACAAACAAAAACUCUAGAGUAAACAAAAUCAGCAUUUAUUCUUGUUGUCUGUUUACAAGAUCGCCUUAUGUUUUCCCAAAAGAACAUGUACCAGAGAAACAUGAGUUAAUCUACAAAACCAGAUACGGAAGAUGGCAUGAAAAUCCACAUGCUUUGAGAUUUAGUUCUCAUAUGCCUGUCUUCUAAGGAAAGUUGCUGUGGGGUACACAAACAUUAGUUCUGCCACACCAGAAUGUGCUUGCUAACUCUACUGACAUGGCUAAAAACAUAUUUACAAAGCAUUACCUCUACCAGUCUUCAACUUAUACUUUAAACAGGUAGUUAGUUGUUCAGCUAUUAAGCCUUCACAGAAGGUGAAAGAAUCUAAUGUCCCUAAAUGGAUUCAUGCAGUGUUUAGUUUUAUUCAUACAAGACAUGAGGACAAGUAUAUUUCGGUGAUGAUAAAAGUAGUAUGUGAAGAUGCAGCAUCCUCCUGGAAAGCAGGAAAGAGUUUGGAGCAUCAGUGCUCAUUCAUCACCUCUGUGUCUUUGGCACUAAGCAGAACUACAAUUCUUAUCUCAUAUUAAGAGUUCACCAGCAGGAGGGUGCCCUGCUCACUGGUAGGGCCAGGUGAAGGGGAUGGGAUGUUUUCAGAUCCCUAUUGGUGGAGAAGAGCAGAACAUCUCCCGGUGAGACAUUUUUUUAUUGAAAGAGACUGCUCGUAAUUCAUAGUGUCAGCAUAAAACCAAAGAUGCUAAAAUAUCUUGACCCUUCCUGCAGUAAUUUAACCACAGCAGAAAAAGGUAUUUUCACGGAACUUCUUCAACUGUUAAGAAAUUAAGUUUCUCUUUAUUUUAACUGGUCAAGACCAGGGCAAUUUAGGUGUUAUGGUUUUUUUUUUUUGGAGAGGGUGGAAGAUUAAACUGAGCUCCUGUUCUACUUGCAUCUCAAAAUGUGGACCAAAUAUUUUCCUUGUUUAAUUCUGUAGAGCUGCACUGUUAUUCCUGGUAGGAAUCAAGUUAUGGAAGAGUUUAGCUUAGGCUUUAACUUCAUUCAGACUCUGACAGUGGAAGGAACAUGAAAAGGAAUUAAGAAGUAGCUUCUGUUGUUGUCUCCAGACCAGAUUAUCACAGGUUGCCAACUGUGUACUCUAUGAGGGUACUCAGGAGUGGCUGACUUCAGGUUCUCACAAAUAUGGAUAUGAUAGUAGGGAAAUAUUUCUGUCAUAUAGGUUUUUACCAGUUUCAUAGCCUACAGGUUGUUCAGUGUAUAAAAAGAGAUGGAAAGCCAAUAGCAUGUAGUGGCAUAUAUAUAUAACAAAUAACCUUGUUAGUAACUGAUGAUAAUGUGAGACUACUCUAGUGUAUCCUUGGUAAAACUGAGAUUUUAUCUAGCUCAGUUUCUCUGCUGUAUGUACAUAAGUAGGAAUAACAGCAUCCUAAUUCUUAAAUAUAUCAGGCAAAUGAAAUUUUGCUUUCCCAAGUUGAGUUUUCCCCAAGACCCUGGGAAAAUAUUUCAACUUCCAGUGAAUUCCCCCAAGUCAUCACUGCAAAGCACUCAUUAUACAAUAUUAUUAUUGAAGUUGCCUAUGUGAAUGGAAAGCUCUUUUUCUUUGUGCAUUCUACCAGGGAGUUUGUAUGCAAACUUGGAGGUCAAGCCAUCACCUGGUAUAAAUCCCUGUGCUCCAGUGAUAUCGCCUUUAAAAUGUAUAUGUCUGGAAAAAUACAAUGGUGUACAUAGAGCAAAUGCUGCAUCUUGACACUUUAUCCCUGCUACCACCAAUGAUGUUGCUAUAUCAUUCUGUUCCCUGGUGAUUCUUGUAGUACCUGCAGCCAUCUCUGACUGUCUGCGGAUAUAAGUCUAAAUGGAGUAACCACAGCUAAUAAAGUGCCCUUCACAC
rnacentral:lncRNA from 7 species